rnacentral:rRNA from 1 species
UUGACGGGGGCCCGCACAAGCGGUGGAGUAUGUGGUUUAAUUCGAUGCAACGCGAAGAACCUUACCUGGUCUUGACAUCCCGGAGACCCUUAGGAAACUAGGGGGUGCUUCCAUCUGGAAGAAUCUGGAGACAGGUGCUGCAUGGCUGUCGUCAGCUCGUGUCGUGAGAUGUUGGGUUAAGUCCCGCAACGAGCGCAACCCUUGCCUUUAGUUGCCAGCAGUUCGGCUGGGCACUCUAAAGGGACUGCCGGUGUUAAACCGGAGGAAGGUGGGGAUGACGUCAAGUCCUCGUGGCCUUUAUGACCAGGGCUACACACGUACUACAAUGGCCGAUACAAAGGGCAGCGACACUGCGAGGUGAAGCCAAUCCCGUAAAAUCGGUCUCAGUCCGGAUUGGAGUCUGCAACUCGACUCCAUGAAGUUGGAAUCGCUAGUAAUCGUGGAUCAGCAUGCCACGGUGAAUACGUUCCCGGGCCUU